rnacentral:rRNA from 1 species
GGAUCCAGACUUUGAUUAUGGCUCAGGAUGAACGCUAGCUACAGGCUUAACACAUGCAAGUCGAGGGGAAACGACAUCGAAAGCUUGCUUUUGAUGGGCGUCGACCGGCGCACGGGUGAGUAACGCGUAUCCAACCUGCCCAUCACUUGGGGAUAACCUUGCGAAAGUAAGACUAAUACCCAAUGAUAUCUCAAGAAGACAUCUGAAUGAGAUUAAAGAUUUAUCGGUGAUGGAUGGGGAUGCGUCUGAUUAGCUUGUUGGCGGGGUAACGGCCCACCAAGGCUACGAUCAGUAGGGGUUCUGAGAGGAAGGUCCCCCACAUUGGAACUGAGACACGGUCCAAACUCCUACGGGAGGCAGCAGUGAGGAAUAUUGGUCAAUGGGCGAGAGCCUGAACCAGCCAAGUAGCGUGCAGGAUGACGGCCCUAUGGGUUGUAAACUGCUUUUAUAAGGGAAUAAAGUGAGCCUCGUGAGGCUUUUUGCAUGUACCUUAUGAAUAAGGACCGGCUAAUUCCGUGCCAGCAGCCGCGGUAAUACGGAAGGUCCGGGCGUUAUCCGGAUUUAUUGGGUUUAAAGGGAGCGUAGGCCGGACAUUAAGCGUGUUGUGAAAUGUAGAUGCUCAACAUCUGCACUGCAGCGCGAACUGGUUUCCUUGAGUACGCACAAAGUGGGCGGAAUUCGUGGUGUAGCGGUGAAAUGCUUAGAUAUCACGAAGAACUCCGAUUGCGAAGGCAGCUCACUGGAGCGCAACUGACGCUGAAGCUCGAAAGUGCGGGUAUCGAACAGGAUUAGAUACCCUGGUAGUCCGCACGGUAAACGAUGGAUGCCCGCUGUUGGUCUGAAUAGGUCAGCGGCCAAGCGAAAGCAUUAAGCAU